GAUGAACGCUGGCGGCAUGCUUAACACAUGAAAGUCGGACGGGAAGUGGUGUUUCCAGUGGCGGACUGGUGAGUAACGCGCAAGAACCUGCCCUGGGGAGGGGAACAACAACUGGAAACGGUUGCUAAUACCCCGUAGGCCUAGGGGCAAAAGGAGAACUCCGCCCGAGGAGGGGCUAACGUCGUAGCAGCUAGUUGGUGCGGUAACAACUUCCCAAGGCGAUGAUCAGUAGCAGGUCCGCUAGGACGGUCCGGCACACUGGGACUGAGACCCGGGCCACACUCCUGCCGGCGGCAGUAGGGCCGAUUCUCCCGCAGUCCGCGAUAGCCUGGCGGAUCCCUGCCGCGUGGAGGUCGAUGGCCCACGGCUCGUGAACUUCUUUUCUAGACGAAGCCACAAUGGCGGUCUCUGACGGAUAAGCCCCGUCCACCUCUGUG
rnacentral:rRNA from 1 species